CGUGCCUGGUCCCGAGAGAAGAGGAGGACGGUCCGGCCCCACGUGAGGCGAGGCCCGCCACAUCGCGCCUUCCGCCGCUCAACGCAUGGCCGGGGGCGCGGCCGUGGUUCCUGAACUGACCCACGCGGGGUCAGGGUCGGGGGCCCGCACCCGCCCAGCACGCAUGCUCACUCUCCCCCCCCCGCCCCGGUCUGGGUGAGAGGCCGCCCCACCUGCUCAAAUCCUGAGACCCCAGAGGAGCAGGGCCUGGCCUGGCCGCAACCACGUGUGACGGCAAAGAGCUGGCCAUGCAGGAGCAGCUGAAGAGCCCUGGAUGGCCCCAUCUCAGUCCAGAGGACCCAGGGACUUCGUUUCUCAGUUUUGGAAAAAGUACCAGACAGGCCCUUUAACUACUAAGGCAAGUCCCACAUGGUUCCCCAGGAACCUUCUGGAAUGCAGAUGCUGGGAGCACAGGAGCUGCUGGCCUUGCUCGGUCCCUUUGGCUCCCUGCUCUUUUUCUCGUUUAAGCAGGUGGAUGCAGCCCCAGGUGGAUGCAGCUGAAUGAGGGGCCCCAGCACCUGCAAUGGACCAACCUCCCAGGGAAGCCACAGAAUAAUGAGAAACAGUCAUGCUUCUGAUAUCCUGUUUUAGAAGGACUUACCUACACCAAGGCCAUUAAGAUACUUUUAAUAAAUAAAAAACAAUUUUAA